rnacentral:rRNA from 1 species
UACGUAGGGUGCGAGCGUUUGUCCGGAAUUACUGGGCGUAAAGGGCUCGUAGGCGGCCAACUAAGUCAGACGUGAAAUCCCCAGGCUUAACCUGGGAACUGCGUCUGAUACUGGAUGGCUUGAAUCCGGGAGAGGGAUGCAGAAUUCCAGGUGUAGCGGUGAAAUGCGUAGAUAUCAGGAGGAACACCGGUGGCGAAGGCGGUUCUCUGGGCAUUACCUGACGCUGAGGAGCGAAAGUGUGGGGAGCGAACAGG